AAUACGUUUUCAUAUUCUUGCGAGAUGAAAGAAAAAACGCUCUCAUUAGCGUUGUCUUUUGACAUAUUUUAUUAGUUUUUAUAUUGUAAUUUUUAAUUGGUAACAAUGGAAAUGUUCAAAUAAAUAAUUUACAGUGCUCAACUGUCUGUUCAUCGUUUAUUAAAUGCAAAAGGAUUAUGUGUACUCAAAAUAUAUGUCAAUAGGAAUAACCAACAGGUGGAUUGCAAAACGCUGCUUAACAAAAUGGUAUAUACCAUAGUGACGGCCUUCUAGAUUGGGAUUUCGUAUAUAUAUAGCGAGUCGACUUUUCGCCACACUAACCUCCCAUGUGAUAGCGUAGCACGAACAACGUUAUCAAUAGUUCACAAGGAAAUAGAUUCACACAAAGAAAAUUGGACUAGCCUGAGUCUUCAAACUACUCUUUCAAGUGGGAGUGCUGGACUCAUCUUUUUUGCAUUAUAUAUAUAAGCAAAACAUAAAUAAAUAAGAGGAAGUAUUUUUUUGAUUGGGCUACGACUACUACGGCACUAUUCGAUCAACUGAGUUAAGCUGCACAAGCUUUGGUCAGGAGAUAAAUGGGUGACCGUUUAGAAUAUCGUAUGUAGUCGUAAAAUACUGUGUCAACCGUCUCUGUGUACAACAAAGGUAUGGAUUUCAGCACAGACGCGUAAAAUAGAAAUCCAAUGCCAUAUAGAAUAUGGCAAAAUCAUAAAAAAAUGUAGGAUACAAUCGGCUGAUCACCGAUUCAUCUGAAUUCACUGAUCAACAGAAACCAGAAAGAUAAGAAUUCUUAUCUGAAGGCCCUAUGCUCCACUAGGAGUUAUAGGAAAUAAAAAAAGGAAUGAACCUAUACCAGAAUCGAAUGACUUGGGACAAAUUGGCAAAAAAACAACAGAAGCAAUGAAAAAUCGAUAUGGCAGUGAUUAUACCUGUGAAAAUUCUUACGACGAUUAUUUUUCUAUAUAGAUGUUUCGUCUGGCGAAAGUAUAGACUGGGUCUAUGGCGUUAAAAAGGUUCCACUUAUACGAUUGAACUACGCGAUAAAGGUGAACAUGCUUUCAUUUUACCUGCUGAUCAAAUCAUUCCAAAUGCCUUGGAAGUUCUAGACGGCCAAAAAGCAAUGGUGAAUGAAGCCAAAUCAUUGAACUACUUGUGAGCCUAUUCGUCACAUUUAACAAGAAGUCUUCUUCAAAACUUUUCAGUUCAUUCAAUUUUACCAUUAAGAAAAUAUUGACUAUUUUGUCAAAAUUUAUAAUAAAAAUAGAAUUAAGUUAUAGUAACACACUGUUUUGAUUUUCUGAGAAAAAAAAAUCUUUUUGAAAACGUC